UGGGGAAUCUUGCGCAAUGGGCGAAAGCCUGACGCAGCAACGCCGCGUGCGGGAAGAAGGCUCUCGGGUUGUAAACCGCUUUCAGCAGGAACGAAAAUGACGGUACUUGCAGAAGAAGGUGCGGCCAACUACGUGCCAGCAGCCGCGGUGACACGUAGGCACCAAGCGUUGUCCGGAUUUAUUGGGCGUAAAGAGCUCGUAGGCGGUUCGGUAAGUCGGGUGUGAAAACUUUGGGCUUAACCCAAAGCCUGCAUCCGAUACUGCUGUGACUAGAGUUCGGUAGGGGAGCGGGGAAUUCCUAGUGUAGCGGUGAAAUGCGCAGAUAUUAGGAGGAACACCGGUGGCGAAGGCGCCGCUCUGGGCCGAUACUGACGCUGAGGAGCGAAAGCGUGGGUAGCAAACA
rnacentral:rRNA from 1 species